rnacentral:rRNA from 1 species
UACGUAGGGUGCGAGCGUUAAUCGGAUUUACUGGGCGUAAAGCGAGCGCAGGUGGUUUAUUAAGUCUGGUGUAAAAGGCAGUGGCUCAACCAUUGUAUGCAUUGGAAACUGGUAGACUUGAGUGCAGGAGAGGAGAGUGGAAUUCCAUGUGUAGCGGUGAAAUGCGUAGAUAUAUGGAGGAACACCGGUGGCGAAAGCGGCUCUCUGGACUGUCACUGACACUGAGGCUCGAAAGCGUGGGGAGCAAACAGG